GUGCUUGCUUCAGUAGCACAUAUACUAAAAUUGGAAUAAUACAUAGAAGAUUAACAUGGCCCCUGCACAAGGUUGACAUGCAAAUUUGUGAAGCAUUAUAUAUUUUU
ensembl:snRNA U6 U6 spliceosomal RNA